rnacentral:rRNA from 1 species
GAUCAUGGCUCAGGAUAAACGCUAGCGGCAGGCCUAACACAUGCAAGUCGAGGGGCAGCGGGUGGAGUAUUUCGGUACUCCUGCCGGCGACCGGCGCACGGGUGCGUAACGCGUAUGCAACCUACCUUUAACAGGGGGAGUAAUCCGAAGAAAUUUGGUCUAAUACCCCACUAAUAUCAUUUAAGGCAUCUUAGAUGGUUGAAAAAUUACCGAUGGUUAGAGAUGGGCAUGCGUUGUAUUAGCUAGUUGGUGAGG